AGCGGCAGCUACCGGACUGAACCACCAAACCAGGGGCGGCACCUCCCCCGAUCCCAUUUCGUUGAGCUGGCAGCUCGGCGGGGCCAUCCGAUUUGGCGUGCUCGCGCCUCCAGCCACGUCCUCGACGGGGCUAGGUUCGGCGGCGGCGGCGGCGAUAUCUGCGGGUCACCACCGAGCGGGUCAAGGAUGGAGGCCCGGUGAGCUGUUCCCUUCAAUCCGAUUUCUUCCGAUUGCCUCGAUGGCGGCUGUAUGGAGUCCUCUCGAAGCCAGGCCAGCUCGUGCCAUUCAAUCUUCCGAAUUUGAACAGUGUGCAAAUCAAUGAGGCAAGCCAGGACUAGCUUCCUGGUUAGUCUAACAAUGUAAGAACUGGGAAGCAAAGACGAGAUCCUGCCAAUUUGGAGACCAUGCAAUUUGUCGAGGAUCUCUGUACAACACUUCUAAAAACAGGUACAUCAACUCCAUGGAGGAUGUGAUCAGGAAGACUUAGGGGGUGUUUGAGACUGCUCCACAAACUCUGCUCCAUAAACUCCACUGUGGAACAGCUUCACAAAAAACUAGAGUUUGUGAAGUAGUGCUAUCACAACUACACCUUUUUUCCUCGAACUAAGUGCAUGGAGCUGAAACCGUUUGGCUAAAAAACGUAGAGCGGAGCUGAAAAACGUGGAGCAGAGCAAUCCCAAAUACCCCCUUACAUGCAGAUGGAGUUUGAUUUUUUUGACGACAACAUCAACUACUCAGAUUGUGUACCCAGCAGCAGCAAGCAGGAAGAUGCCACGGUCAAUAGGCAACAUGCCCGCUGUUGCAAUCAGACACUAGGUUUUUGGUCAAAUUUAAGAAGUUUUAACUCUUUAAAAUUUUUGAAAUGUCUUAUAAUUUAGAAUGGAGGGAGUAAUAGAGUGCUCGACGUCUUACACUUAGUUGUCACGAUGACUUUACUACCACGGCGCGCAGCUUGAAGUGAAGCUUCUGUUCAUCUCUU